UGUCACUGUGUUAGUUAGGGGUUAAAGGUCAGGGUUAAUAUAUAACUGAUAUGUCACUGUGUUAGUUAGGGGUUAAAGGUCAGGGUUAAUAUAUAACUGAUAUGUCACUGUGUUAGGGGUUAAAGGUCAGGGUUAAUAUAUAACUGAUGUAUCACUGUGUUAGUUAGGGGUUAAAGGUCAGGGUUAAUAUAUAACUGAUAUGUCACUGUGUUAGGGGUUAAAGGUCAGGGUUAAUAUAUAACUGAUAUGUCACUGUGUUAGUUAGGGGUUAAAGGUCAGGGUUAAUAUAUAACUGAUGUAUCACUGUGUUAGUUAGGGGUUAAAGGUCAGGGUUAAUAUAUAACUGAUAUGUCACUGUGUUAGUUAGGGGUUAAAGGUCAGGGUUAAUAUAUAACUGAUAUGUCACUGUGUUAGUUAGGGGUUAAAGGUCAGGGUUAAUAUAUAACUGAUAUGUCACUGUGUUAGUCAGGGGUUAAAGGUCAGGGUUAAUAUAUAACUGAUGUAUCACUGUGUUAGUUAGGGGUUAAAGGUCAGGGUUAAUAUAUAACUGAUAUGUCACUGUGUUAGUUAGGGGUUAAAGGUCAGGGUUAAUAUAUAACUGAUGUAUCACUGUGUUAGUUAGGGGUUAAAGGUCAGGGUUAAUAUAUAACUGAUAUGUCACUGUGUUAGUUAGGGUCAGGGGUUAAAGGUCAGGGUUAAUAUAUAACUGAUAUGUCACUGUGUUAGGGGUUAAAGGUCAGGGUUAAUAUAUAACUGAUAUGUCACUGUGUUAGGGGUUAAAGGUCAGGGUUAAUAUAUAACUGAUAUGUCACUGUGUUAGGGGUUAAAGGUCAGGGUUAAUAUAUAACUGAUAUGUCACUGUGUUAGUUAGGGUCAGGGGUUAAAGGUCAGGGUUAAUAUAUAACUGAUAUGUCACUGUGUUAGGGGUUAAAGGUCAGGGUUAAUAUAUAACUGAUAUGUCACUGUGUUAGUUAGGGGUUAAAGGUCAGGGUUAAUAUAUAACUGAUAUGUCACUGUGUUAGUCAGGGGUUAAAGGUCAGGGUUAAUAUAUAACUGAUGUAUCACUGUGUUAGUUAGGGGUUAAAGGUCAGGGUUAAUAUAUAACUGAUAUGUCACUGUGUUAGUCAGGGGUUAAAGGUCAGGGUUAAUAUAUAACUGAUGUAUCACUGUGUUAGUUAGGGGAUAAAGGUCAGGGUUAAUAUAAAACUGAUAUGUCACUGUGUUAGGGGUUAAAGGUCAGGGUUAAUAUAUAACUGAUAUGUCACUGUGUUAGUUAGGGGUUAAAGGUCAGGGUUAAUAUAUAACUGAUAUGUCACUGUGUUAGGGGUUAAAAGUCAGGGUUAAUAUAUAACUGAUAUGUCACUGUCUUAGUCAGGGGUUAAAGGUCAGGGUUAAUAUAUAACUGAUAUGUCACUGUUAGUUAGGGGUUAAAGGUCAGGGUUAAUAUAUAACUGAUAUGUCACUGUUAGUUAGGGGUUAAAGGUCAGGGUUAAUAUAUAACUGAUAUGUCACUGUGUUAGUUAGGGGUUAAAGGUCAGGGUUAAUAUAUAACUGAUAUGUCACUGUGUUAGUUAGGGGUUAAAGGUCAGGGUUAAUAUAUAACUGAUGUAUCACUGUGUUAGUUAGGGGUUAAAGGUCAGGGUUAAUAUAUAACUGAUAUGUCACUGUGUUAGUUAGGGGUUAAAGGUCAGGGUUAAUAUAUAACUGAUGUAUCACUGUGUUAGUUAGGGGUUAAAGGUCAGGGUUAAUAUAUAACUGAUAUGUCACUGUGUUAGUUAGGGGUUAAAGGUCAGGGUUAAUAUAUAACUGAUAUGUCACUCUGUUAGUUAGGGGUUAAAGGUCAGGGUUAAUAUAUAACUGAUAUGUCACUGUGUUAGUUAGGGUCAGGGGUUAAAGGUCAGGGUUAAUAUAUAACUGAUAUGUCACUGUGUUAGUUAGGGGUUAAAGGUCAGGGUUAAUAUAUAACUGAUAUGUCACUGUGUUAGGGGUUAAAGGUCAGGGUUAAUAUAUAACUGAUAUGUCACUGUGUUAGUUAAGGUCAGGGGUUAAAGGUCAGGGUUAAUAUAUAACUGAUAUGUCACUGUGUUAGUUAGGGGUUAAAGGUCAGGGUUAAUAUAUAACUGAUAUGUCACUGUGUUAGGGGUUAAAGGUCAGGGUUAAUAUAUAACUGAUAUGUCACUGUGUUAGUUAGGGGUUAAAGGUCAGGGUUAAUAUAUAACUGAUGUAUCACUGUGUUAGUUAGGGGUUAAAGGUCAGGGUUAAUAUAUAACUGAUAUGUCACUGUGUUAGUUAGGGGUUAAAGGUCAGGGUUAAUAUAUAACUGAUAUGUCACUGUGUUAGGGGUUAAAGGUCAGGGUUAAUAUAUAACUGAUAUGUCACUGUGUUAGGGGUUAAAGGUCAGGGUUAAUAUAUAACUGAUAUGUCACUGUGUUAGUUAGGGUCAGGGGUUAAAGGUCAGGGUUAAUAUAUAACUAAUAUGUCACUGUGUUAGUUAGGGGUUAAAGGUCAGGGUUAAUAUAUAACUGAUGUAUCACUGUGUUAGUUAGGGGUUAAAGGUCAGGGUUAAUAUAUAACUGAUAUGUCACUGUGUUAGUUAGGGUCAGGGGUUAAAGGUCAGGGUUAAUAUAUAACUGAUAUGUCACUGUUAGUUAGGGGUUAAAGGUCAGGGUUAAUAUAUAACUGAUAUGUCACUGUGUUAGGGGUUAAAGGUCAGGGUUAAUAUAUAACUGAUAUGUCACUGUGUUAGUUAGGGGUUAAGGGUCAGGGUUAAUAUAUAACUGAUAUGUCACUGUGUUAGGGGUUAAAGGUCAGGGUUAAUAUAUAACUGAUAUGUCACUGUGUUAGUUAGGGUCAGGGGUUAAAGGUCAGGGUUAAUAUAUAACUGAUAUGUCACUGUGUUAGUUAGGGUCAGGGGUUAAAGGUCAGGGUUAAUAUAUAACUGAUAUGUCACUGUGUUAGGGGUUAAAGGUCAGGGUUAAUAUAUAACUGAUAUGUCACUGUGUUAGUUAGGGUCAGGGGUUAAAGGUCAGGGUUAAUACAUGACUGAUAUGUCACUGUGUUAGUUAGGGUCAGGGGUUAAAGGUCAGGGUUAAUAUAUAACUGAUAUGUCACUGUUAGUUAGGGGUUAAAGGUCAGGGUUAAUAUAUAACUGAUAUGUCACUGUGUUAGUUAGGGGUUAAAGGUCAGGGUUAAUAUAUAACUGAUAUGUCACUGUGUUAGUUAGGGGUUAAAGGUCAGGGUUAAUAUAUAACUGAUAUGUCACUGUGUUAGGGGUUAAAGGUCAGGGUUAAUAUAUAACUGAUAUGUCACUGUGUUAGUUAGGGGUUAAAGGUCAGGGUUAAUAUAUAACUGAUAUGUCACUGUGUUAGUUAGGGUCAGGGGUUAAAGGUCAGGGUUAAUAUAUAACUGAUAUGUCACUGUGUUAGUUAGGGUCAGGGGUUAAAGGUCAGGGUUAAUAUAUAACUGAUAUGUCACUGUGUUAGGGGUUAAAGGUCAGGGUUAAUAUAUAACUGAUAUGUCACUGUGUUAGGGGUUAAAGGUCAGGGUUAAUAUAUAACUGAUAUGUCACUGUGUUAGUUAGGGGUUAAAGGUCAGGGUUAAUAUAUAACUGAUAUGUCACUGUGUUAGGGGUUAAAGGUCAGGGUUAAUAUAUAACUGAUAUGUCACUGUGUUAGUUAGGGGUUAAAGGUCAGGGUUAAUAUAUAACUGAUAUGUCACUGUGUUAGUUAGGGGUUAAAGGUCAGGGUUAAUAUAUAACUGAUAUGUCACUGUGUUAGUUAGGGGUUAAAGGUCAGGGUUAAUAUAUAACUGAUAUGUCACUGUGUUAGUUAGGGGUUAAAGGUCAGGGUUAAUAUAUAACUGAUGUAUCACUGUGUUAGUUAGGGGUUAAAGGUCAGGGUUAAUAUAUAACUGAUAUGUCACUGUGUUAGGGGUUAAAGGUCAGGGUUAAUAUAUAACUGAUAUGUCACUGUGUUAGUUAGGGGUUAAAGGUCAGGGUUAAUAUAUAACUGAUGUAUCACUGUGUUAGUUAGGGGUUAAAGGUCAGGGUUAAUAUAUAACUGAUAUGUCACUGUGUUAGUUAGGGGUUAAAGGUCAGGGUUAAUAUAUAACUGAUAUGUCACUGUGUUAGUUAGGGGUUAAAGGUCAGGGUUAAUAUAUAACUGAUAUGUCACUGUGUUAGUCAGGGGUUAAAGGUCAGGGUUAAUAUAUAACUGAUGUAUCACUGUGUUAGUUAGGGGUUAAAGGUCAGGGUUAAUAUAUAACUGAUAUGUCACUGUGUUAGUUAGGGGUUAAAGGUCAGGGUUAAUAUAUAACUGAUAUGUCACUGUGUUAGUUAGGGUCAGGGGUUAAAGGUCAGGGUUAAUAUAUAACUGAUAUGUCACUGUGUUAGGGGUUAAAGGUCAGGGUUAAUAUAUAACUGAUAUGUCACUGUGUUAGGGGUUAAAGGUCAGGGUUAAUAUAUAACUGAUAUGUCACUGUGUUAGGGGUUAAAGGUCAGGGUUAAUAUAUAACUGAUAUGUCACUGUGUUAGUUAGGGUCAGGGGUUAAAGGUCAGGGUUAAUAUAUAACUGAUAUGUCACUGUGUUAGGGGUUAAAGGUCAGGGUUAAUAUAUAACUGAUAUGUCACUGUGUUAGUUAGGGGUUAAAGGUCAGGGUUAAUAUAUAACUGAUAUGUCACUGUGUUAGUCAGGGGUUAAAGGUCAGGGUUAAUAUAUAACUGAUGUAUCACUGUGUUAGUUAGGGGUUAAAGGUCAGGGUUAAUAUAUAACUGAUAUGUCACUGUGUUAGUCAGGGGUUAAAGGUCAGGGUUAAUAUAUAACUGAUGUAUCACUGUGUUAGUUAGGGGAUAAAGGUCAGGGUUAAUAUAAAACUGAUAUGUCACUGUGUUAGGGGUUAAAGGUCAGGGUUAAUAUAUAACUGAUAUGUCACUGUGUUAGUUAGGGGUUAAAGGUCAGGGUUAAUAUAUAACUGAUAUGUCACUGUGUUAGGGGUUAAAAGUCAGGGUUAAUAUAUAACUGAUAUGUCACUGUCUUAGUCAGGGGUUAAAGGUCAGGGUUAAUAUAUAACUGAUAUGUCACUGUUAGUUAGGGGUUAAAGGUCAGGGUUAAUAUAUAACUGAUAUGUCACUGUUAGUUAGGGGUUAAAGGUCAGGGUUAAUAUAUAACUGAUAUGUCACUGUGUUAGUUAGGGGUUAAAGGUCAGGGUUAAUAUAUAACUGAUAUGUCACUGUGUUAGUUAGGGGUUAAAGGUCAGGGUUAAUAUAUAACUGAUGUAUCACUGUGUUAGUUAGGGGUUAAAGGUCAGGGUUAAUAUAUAACUGAUAUGUCACUGUGUUAGU